AUUUGGAGGAGGACAAUCCAUUAAGAAGAACAGCCUCAGAGCCAAUCCUGAAGCUGCGACCAAAGAGAAGUGCAUCAGGAAGACAGAACCCACUGCAGCGUAAAACCAGUGCGCCCCCUGCUGUCAGAGCAUCUGACUCUAUGGGGGGAGCCUCCAGUUCUUCUCCAGUAUCUUUAAAAAGUUCAUCAGCAGAUAAAAAAAUGAGCCAUCAAGAGCCACAGACCUAUAGCACAUCAUCACCACAACGGGUCUGUUACUGGACUCUCAUUAUAUAUAUUAUCUCUCAUAUGAGUAAAAGAUGUUU
rnacentral:lncRNA from 1 species